UUAGCUGAAACCAAAAAGAGGUAUGUCACUGUUAAUGGCAAAAUUGAAGAUUUUCCAGCUAAA
rnacentral:tRNA from 1 species